UUUUUGAGGAAUGAUCGGGAUCCCAUGGUUCCAGGUGGCCGACCUCCUUGCCGCUGCCUCCCAAACUCUGCUGCAAGAGCGUAGCUACACCUGUGCUCUGAAGGUAGAUGCCACACCAUCUUCUGUUUAUUCUCUUCUUCACAAUUGUUAUUGCAGAUGCCAUGACUCUAUCACUCCUAUGUUUACCCCAACUCUAAAGCCAUCUGCGUGUGUAGAACUAGCUUAUUUAAUCCCUUACAUGCUUAUCUACAUGUGUGUGGUAUUAGGAUUGUAUAGCACGGAUGGAUUGAACCGCAUGUAAGUGAGAGCAGCCAGCCUAGGUGCGUGCAGUAAUGUGGGCGUAGAUGUUCAUGUUAAGAAGGUUUAGGGAGAAAAAUACACCUAUGAUAACAAAUGGCUGCAGGGUGAAUACUGAUCGAAUCACCUUCGGAUGUUGUUGAUGUACUAAGCAAAUUCGGACACAAAUUAAUCGCUAAUUAGUAAUUACACCACGAUGAUUUACCUCUUUCUCUAGCAACGCUGUCUCCAUGGAGGAGCAACACCCUUCACUGCUCAUCGCGGCACCCAGGCUGUCCGCGCACGGAGGCAGCGUUGGGGAGCAGCAAGGAUGCACGGCGGCGGGUUCAGGACCGAUGCUCGGAUGAUGUCGGGGAUAAGAACGGCUACAGAUGAUUGCUAGGGCCGCACACCAGUACCAUCUCGAACACGGUGGUGGAGGAAGCCAUGGCACCUAGCCCGAGCAGGUGGCGACACCCACAAAGCCUAGCGUGAGCGCAAGCCUGACGAAUGUUCAAUGGAGAUCUGCGAGAGAAAGAAGAGAAGAGUGCUACGAGGGACGUCACGUGGUCCUUGGUUGUAGUUGCCCCUUGCGAGCUAGCUAGGAGGACACCAACACGUGAGGGCUAGUCCCAUGAUGGCGUUCGGGAAAAUGGUCUACGUCUGGAUUGCAUAUACGUAGUAUGUUUUUUUUUCUGGGUGAGUGUUAGGUGAGACAAAAUAGCAUCCGGAUGCUGGUUGGGGCAAAAGAGCAUCCGGAUGCUGGUUGGGGCAAAAGAGCACCCGGAUGCUGGGAUAUGCAAACCAGCACCGGAUGCUAGCUAGGCACGUCCUGAAUCCCAAAUUGGGUAUUUAUACUGUGUCUCUGGAUGAUAUGACCAUUAGGUUCAGCAUAGUCGAGGGGUGUGAUGAUGAGGAAAA